rnacentral:rRNA from 1 species
GACGAACGCUGGCGGUGUGCUUCACACAUGCAAGUCGAACGAGGUAGCAAUACCUAGUGGCGGACGGGUGAGUAACGCGUGGGAAUCUGCCUUUUAGAUGGGGGGAUAACGGGUCGAAAGACUCGCUAAUACCGCAUAUGACGAAAGUUGAAAGGAGUAAUCCGUCUAAAAGAUGAGCCCGNGUCCGAUUAGCUAGUUGGUAGAGUAAAAGCCUACCAAGGCGACGAUCGGUAGCUGGUCUGAGAGGAUGAUCAGCCACAAUAGGGACUGAGACACGGCCCAUACUCCUACGGGAGGCAGCAGUGGGGAAUUUUACGCAAUGGGCGAAAGCCUGACGUAGCGACACCGCGUGAGCGAAGAAGCCCCUUGGGGUGUAAAGCUCUGUCAGCUGGAACGAAAAAAAUGACGGUACCAGCAGAGGAAGCAUCGGCUAACUACGUG